UACUUUUUACAGGGGAGUUUUUACUUUUUAUUGCUUUUCAAAAAUAAAAAAAGAAACGUUGUUGAGGCGGUCCAGAAUUCUAAUCUCACGGGGAAAAGACUGAAUCCCUAAUUUCCUUUUUUUCUUCGUUGAGGCGGUUGAGAAUCGUAAUCUAUUUUCCUUAAAAUCAUACGCGUAUCUUCUUCUGAUUACAAAGUAAAUCCCAGACUUUGAGCUCGGACUCCCCACAUUGCUUCUGUUACGCCUGCCUAGGGUUUAUGGUAACUGGUGCGUGGCUGCGUGAAGAGGGUGCAGCUAGGUAGUGCCGGCCAGGGCCACGAGAGAAUGAACAUUGACCUGAUUUUUUCAGGCAGCCGAUGGGAUUCAGGCCGAUGAUACGAAUGUUGCCAAUCUGUAUGUAUUCUCGAUAAGCACGGCAUCUCUUCCUUCUCCUCACAUCAGAUUUUAUCAGUCGCCAUUGAAACCCUAAUUUUCCUACAAAAAGUUGUUAGAGUUGUUUGUUUGUUACAAAUAUUUACAUAGGUAUACGGAAUCACAUAGUUCUGGUGAAAUUGAAGGGAUGGAGAAGGAGGGAGUCAGGAAAAGACCUCGGCUUGUGGGGGACGUGGCACCUACAGAACCAGAGGUUGGUUCGAUUACAGUUGGGGUUUUUUGACAGCGAAGGGAAUCGCAAGAGAAAAACUACGGGUUUUGAUAAUCUGACCUAGAUGGUCAUGGUUUGUAGGCGCAACGGGCUCUGGUGCUUCGGAACGGCAUUGCAUAGGAUAGGCAUGUAGGCCGCCGAGAAAGUAUCUGUUCCUUCCUUCCUCGGUCUUUCUAUCUUGUGAAACUUGGUUUUUGUCUUUAUAUAUAUGCGUUCUCCAUCGUCGAUUCAUAAGAUCUUGGGGUUUCACCAAAUUAGACCAUUUUUUGCAGAACACUGUAUUCACUAUUCACGUACGUUUUUUUUGUCCCAAUAAACUCCAGCUGUCUUCAAAGGUUUUCCUUUUGUUGCAGCAGUUGGUAUUUCAUGUUUAUAUCCACAGUUUUUUUGUCAUGUGAACAUGAUUCGAACUAUCUCUGUUGAUGUAUUGGUCGUGCAAAUUUUUUGUGCCUGUUUUUUUUGUGGGUCCCCAUGAACAGCUUGAUGUUGUGCUUGAGGUGAAAAUUUUGAUGUCUGUAAUUUUAAUUAAAAACUAGUUCAGAACAAUAUGGUUCAUGUGGGAUGAUGUUGGAUUUGCUCAAUGGCAUAUGUUUAGAAAAACUCUAGCCUCUUUAUUGCAUAAUGAUAUUCCAUUUGGUCUUAUCAUCCACCAUGACUAUGAAUUUGAAAGGAAUAUCUUUUGAAACUCCCAAUGGGUUGCCCUUUGCGGGCAUAAGUAAGCAUGGCAACGGUAAAUUUAUGGAAGUUUUGAAGGCUACACAAUAAAAGAGGCAUUUGUUUGUCUAGACAUGUGUCGUUUAGCAGACCUUCUGUAUGUGUUAUCUCUGCUAUUUGUAAAUUUGACAUUUUUUCAUACAUGUGGAAGUCUUGGACGAUGUAAAUGAUACAAUUCUUGGUCGUGAGAAUUUUUGUGCUUUUUUGGUGGGUUCCCAUGAACAUCUUGUUGUUGUGCUUGAGGUGGAAAAAUGGUGUUUGUAAUUUGAAUUAAGAACUGGUUCAGAAAAAUAUGGUUCAUGUGGGGUAUGAUUUUGGAUUUGCUCAAUGGUGCAUAUGUUUGGACAAAUUGUAGUCUCUUUAAUGCAUAAUGAUAUUCAAUUUGGUCUUAUAAUCAACUAUAAUGUUGAAUAUGAAAGGAAUAUCGUAUGAUACUGGCAAUGGGUCGUUGCACUUCGCGGGCAUAAGUUCAAUCAUGGCCAAUGGCCACAGUAAAUUUAUGGAAAAUUUGAACGUUAUGCAAUAAAAGAGGCUUUUCUUGUCUAGACAUGUGUCGUUGGGUGGAAUUCCUGCAUCGUUUACAUGUGCAAGUCUUGGAUAGUGUGCUCAGUACAAUUCUUGGUCAAGGAAGUGUUUUUUAUGCAUUUUUUGUGGGUUCCUGUGAACAACUUAAUGUUGUGCUUUAGCUGGAAAAUAUGGUGUCCGUGAUUUGAGUUGGGAAAUAGUUCUGAAAAAUAUGGUUAAUGUCGGGGAUGAUUUUGGAUUUGCUCAAUGUCAUAUGUUCAUGCAAACACUAGCCUCUUUAUUGCAUAAUGAUUUUCAAUUUGGUUGUAUCAACCAUCUCAAUCAAUUUGAAAGGAAUAUCUUAUGAAAUUGGCAAUGGGUUAUUGAGUACAAUUUCUGGAAGUGUUGAACAUUAUGCUGUAAAAGAGGCUUUUGUUUGUCAAAACAUGUGGUGUUGGGCAUAACUUUUAUACGUGCUCCUUUUGCUUUGCGCAAAUUUGCUCUUUUUUUGCGGUUGUUUACAUGUGGAAGUCUUGGAAAGUGCAUUCGGUACAAUUCUUGGUCAUGCAAAUGUAUUUUAGUAUAUUUUUCAUAUGUGGGUUCCCAUAAUGUUGUACUUUAGUUGGAUAAUCUGGUGUCCCUUGAAUGCAUUUAAAUAGUGUUACCAGGCGUUUGAGAAGCCUGGGCCAAGUUUUUUAUUUUCUAAAGAGAAAUAAAUACUCCCCUUUUCCUGUGGAACUAGUUAUUAUGUUGGCAGAUGAUAUGAUUUCUAUGUUACUGGCUUGAAUGCACAUAUUAAUUCCUGGCACACAAAGCAAUAUGCUAGUUUUAGUCCUAUAUCUAAUUGUCUGGAGAGGAGAUUUCCCUUUGAAGGUGAACACUUUUUAAAUUGCAUUGAGCAUGUAUUGAAGAAGGUUACACAAUACCGAGAGACAAAAUAUAUAUCUCAUUAAAAUGGUUUGCCCAGCGAUGAAAAGCUUAUACUAGGUUCACUCUAAGACAGUGAAUCUAAUUAAUGCCCUCACACUUUGAGAUACUCAAGGCAUUGCCUGUGUACUUUAAUCUGGAUAAGCUGUUUGUAGCGGGGGAAUAUAUGAUCUGCGAUGGGCUAUGCAUUCGCAAUGAUUUAGUAAUCGGUGAUUAUCAUAAACUUUGGGUAUAGGAUGUGUUUUAACUUUUAUUGAGUUCUAGGAUAUCCCGUAUAGUAUCCUUAUUUUCAUGUUGUACUUGUGUGGACUCGUAUUUUGAUUUGUUCAAGUGAAAUUAUUUUUGUUUACCCUGUGAUGGAUGUGGGCGGUUACACAUAACAUUUCUAGACUAAUAUUUGGAACCUCUUCAGAUAUCAUUUCAUUUCAGGUUAUCAGACUAUUCCAGAUCUGCAUGUCAUGUUUAGAUUUGCAUAAUAAGUUGACAAGUUGCAGAAUGUAAUGAGAUUCUGUCGGUCCAGAGUCCUGAAUCCCAAUAUCAGUAUACCUUCAUUUUGCUACUGAGAUUGAUUGCUUCCCUCCUGGUACAGAGAAAUUUGUGUAAUUAUUGUAAUGGAAAGUAGGGAAGUUGUUCAAUUGUUAGGCCUUUGCAAAGAAAGAUUCGAGGUUGGUCUCACUCCCGUUUAUUUAUGUUUUGAUAAAAUUGGAAUGAGUAUUUGAUCUUGGAGGGAUAUCUUUCCCCCUUAUUUUUAAUGUCUUGUGAUGUCUUAUAGUGCAAUCUGAUGGAGGAAUUGAAUAAUGCCAAACAUGUUGCCUCUACAAAACUGCUAUCACAAUCAAUUUCGUUAUUUUUUUCCCCCAAAACAGAGCACUAGCAGUUUGUUCCUCAAAAAGAUCACUAUCAGUUCCAAACCUGCACAAUUUGGUCUAUGAAGGGCAUAUGUGAUUUGGAUGGUAAAGUUAUACUAAUUUUUGCCUUUUGGUCAAGUUCUCAAGUCUUUUUGAUUCUUUGUGUAGCUGUGUGCAAAUACGAAGCUGGAUUGCAUUGUAAGUACUCUAAUGUUAUUCACCCAAUUUUUUUUUAAUAUACCUAUCCAGUCAUGUUAAAAAACCAGAGCACUAGCAGUUUGUUCCUCAAAAAGAUCACUAUCAGUUCCAAACCUGCACAAUUUGGUCCAUAACUAUGAAGGGAAUAUGUGAUUUGGAUGGUAUAAGUUAUACUAAUUUUUGCCUUUUGGUAAAGUUCUCUUGUCUUUUUGAUUCUUUUUGCAGCUGUGUGCAAAUACGAAGUUGGUUUGCAUUGUAAGUAUUCUAAUGUUAUUCACCCAGAUUUUUUUUAAUAUGCCUAUCCAGUCAUUAUCUCUCUUUGUGGAUUGAGAAUUCAACUUGCCUUUUGUAGGUUUUCUGAUUAUGAUUUGUCCAUGCAAUAUUGCUUAUAAACGUGGUAACUAAACUGAAACCCUCAUUGAAUUGCUGAUUAAUAGUGUUACCAGGUGUUCAAGAAGCUUGGGCCAAGUUUUUGAUUUUCUAAAAAGAAAUAAAUACUCCCCUUUUCCUAUGAAUCUUGUUCAGGGAAUUUGCUUUUGGAAUCUGUAGCAUCUGUGUGGGUUGCUCUAGGCUCAUGCUUUAUCACAUUUUUUUUUCCUUAGCAAUCAUAAAUUCUUUAUAUUGGCAGAUUUUAUUUGUCCUAUGUUGUCAUUAAGUUUCUUAUUUACUUAGAUUUAAUGGUUUAACUUUUGCCACUAUGAUGUAUCAUACUCGCAGAGUCGCAGGUAUGCAUGAUUUACUCUUAAUCCACAUUGACAGUGGCAUCUCACUGCAUCAAUAUGUGAUUUGGAUGGUUGAAGUUUUACCAGUGUUUGUCUUUUGGUCAAGUUCUCAUAACUUUGUGCAGCUGUGUACAAAUACGAAGUUGGUUUGAUUACCGCAGUUGCAUUUGCAUUGUAAGUAUUCUAAUAUUAUUCACCCAGUUUUUUUUAACAUGCCUAUCCGACCAUUAUCUCUGACUUAUAAGUUUUUAUGGAUUGAGAAUUCAACUUUGCCUUCUGUAGUGCAAUAGUUGCGAGCAGCUGGAUGACUUCCAGCUAAUUUUUCCAUUCUCUUUAUUGUUAAUGGGUUGAGUUCUAAUAUCCAAUUCCUAUGUUGUAGUGCCUAAUUCGUUGUUGAUUUUGCUUUUUCCUAGAUAUGCAUAGCCUGAUGCUUUUAUUGAGUUGGGUUUUCCUUCUAUUGGUUGUGUUUGGUUGAUUCCAUAGUAGUGAAGCUUUAGUCUGUAUUUUGCAGGCAGCCCAUGAGAUUCAAACCGACGAUCCAAUUGUUGGGGAUGGCAUUUGACCUGUAUUGCAUCUCGCUUUAAGCACAGAUGCAUAGACACAUUCAGUUUUGCCUUUUAUGACUGCGCUUUCUUCUCUUCUUACCAUCUGAAAAUAAUAUAAAUUGAAAGUUACAUUUUAAACUUCCAUACUGGUUGUGUAGGGCUUUGGAUCAAUACUGAAAGUGGAAAAUUGCAUGUGUCUCCUGGUGAAUUGCCGUCUUCCUACUGAAUGUGGAAAAUACGUUGUUGAGAUAUUUGGCACCAGUUUUCACCUUCCUGAUCUUGGCCCUCUCGCCUGCCACCUUCGGUCAACUCAAACAACAGGCCAGUACCAAAUCUCAGUUAGCUGUGAUUUACAACUGAAUGAAAUGAAUUAUUUUUCUUUUAUUGUAUAUCAAUCUCUUUAUGUUUUCUUUUGAAGUCUACCACACUGUGGACACAAUUCUGAUUAAUGUAGGUGCUAAUGGUCUUGCUGCUCCAAGGGAUUUUCUUGUUCCAUUAGCCUUGUUUGAGGAAGAUUACAAGCCAGCUUAUACUAUAGUACAAAAAUUUGGUGGAGAACUUUUUACCGCAAAACAAGAUUUUUCACCUUUCAAUGUAGUUGCUUGGCAUGGUAAUUAUGUUCCAUAUAAGGUAUUUAGUCUGUAUUUUGCAGGCAGCCCAUGAGAAGUUUAAUUUGCAUGCUUGAUGAUGUGCUUGAGGUCGUAAAUUUGGUGUACGUAAUUUGAACUAGUAACUAGUUUCAGAAAAAUAUGGUUCAUGUGGGAAUGAUGUUGGAUUUGCUUGAUGUCAUGUUUGGACAAACUCUAGCCUCUUUAUUGCAUAAUGAUCUUCAAUUUGGUCUUAUCAUCAACCAUAACCAUGAAUUUGAAAGGAAUAUCCUAUGAAACUGACAAUGGGGGUUGCCCUUUGCGUGCAUAAGUUCAAGUAUGGCCACGGUUAAUCUAUGGAAGUUUUGAAGGUUACACAAUAAAAGAGGCUUUUGUUCAUCUAGACAUGUGUCGUUUGGGCAAACCUUCUGUACAUGUGCUCUCUACUAUGUGUAAAUUUGACAUUUUUUUCGUACAUGUGGAAGUCUUGGACGAUGUAAACGAUACAAUUCUUGGUCAUGAGAUUUUUUGUGCAUUUUUUGUGGGUUCCUAUGAGCGACUUGAUGCUGUGCUUGAGGUGGAAAAUAUGGUCUCUGUAAUUUGAAUUAAUAACUAGUUCAGAAAAGUAUGGUUCAUGUGGACGAUGAUUUUGGAUUCUCUUAAUGUUGCAUAUGUUUGGACAAAUUGUAGCCUCGUUAUUGCAUAAUGAUCUUCAAUUUGGUCUUAUCGUCAACCAUAACUUUGAAUUUGAAAAGAAUAUCUUAUGAUUGAACGUUAUGGAAUAAAAAGAGUUUUUUUUUGGGGUCUAGACAUGUGUCGUUGGGCGGAACUUCUGUACGUGUUCUUUUUGCUAUGUGCAAAUUUGACAUUUCUUUUUUUCGCUUUGUUUACAUGUGGAAGUCUUGGACGGUGUACUCGGUACAAUUCUUGGUCAUGCAAGUGUAUUUUUAUGCAUUUUUUUUUGUGGGUUCUUGUGAACAUCUUAAUGUUAAGCUUUGGCUGGAAAAUCUGGUGUCCAUGAUUUGAGUUGGGAGCUAGUUCUAAAAAAUAUGUUUCAUGUUGGGGAUGAUUUUGGAUUUGCUCAAUGUCAUAUUUUUAUACAAAUACUAGCAUCUCUAUUGCAUAAUGAUUUUCAAUUUGGUUGUAUUAAGUUAUUAAUCCUAGCUAUGAAUUUGAAAGGAAUAUCUUAUGAAACUGGCAAUGGGUGGUUGUCCUUUGCGUGCAUAAGUUUAAGCAUGACCACAGUACAUUUAUGGAUGUUUUAAACAUUAUGCAAUAAAAGAUGUUUUUGUUUGUCUAGAUAUGUGGUGUUGGGCAGAACUUCAGUAUAUGUUUUCUUUGCUUUGUGCAAAUUUGGCAUUUUCUUCUUUUCCACCCUUUUUACAUGUGGAAGUUUUGUAAAGUAUAUUCCGUACAAUUCUUGGUCGUGCAAAUGUAUUUUUAUGCGUUUGUUAUGUGGGUUCCCGUGAGCAGAUUAAUGUUGUGCUUUAGUUGGAAAAUCUUGUGUUCGUAAUUUGAAUUGGUAUUUGGUAACUAGUUCACAAAAAUAUGGUUCAUGCAGGAGAUGAUUUUGGAUUUGUUCAAUGACAUAUAUUUAUACAAACACUAGCAUCUUUAUUGCGUAAUGAUUUUCAAUUUGGUCUUAUCAACCAUCGCUAUAAAUUUAAAAGGAAUUUCUUAUGAAACAAGAAAUAGGUUGUUGCCCUUUGCAUGCAUAAGUUUAAGCAUGACCAUAUUACAUA